AGUUUAGGGCUGAAAAUGUCUGAACUGCAGGAGGCAAGCCUUCAAGAAAAAUUCCACCCCUUCUAUUGUUUGUGCAGUGCAUUUCUAACUGGUUGCAACCCCUAAAAACACGAGAUAGAUUGUCUAAUUGAGUAGAACAAGCCUUCUUGUAUUGGAUGUGAGUGACAUGAACUUCACAUACAGUUCUAAUUUGUUUAGUAGCAAUUUCUGCUGAUAUCUCUAAAACUAAAGUUUUAUAGGUUAUUCUUGGGGAUUUUUUCCCUUGAUGGUUAGUCUGUUUGAUUUCAGACCUCAACAUUAUGAGACCUUCACUUGUUGCUAAAGGUAAAUUCAGUUCAGAAAGUAUGGGUAUAAACUUGUUUGUACAGUUUGAUACUUAAAGCUUAACUUAUAUCAUACGUUAGGUAGUACUCCUCUCCUAAUGGUAGAAGAUAGAGUAUAUGUGGGUGGGGUUGCCCUCCAUCAUGGAGAUACCUCUCUUCAUAUCCACUUGUGUAUCAGGCUGAACCAUUUAAACUCUCAAAGUCUCUUGAAUAACAUUUUUUAUGCAGCAGCUGUUUUCAGUUUGGUCGUAACUGCUGGGCAUGAGCUGUGGCCAACUGCAGAAUGUCAGGCAUUCACUAACCAACCAUUGAACUGGAGAAGUAUGUUUAUUUUGCAGAGAUUCAG